rnacentral:other from 1 species
CGACUUCUGCAUCGUUCGAGAAGUUUCAUUCGUUCUUUUCCUUACUCCUAAUUACUAGGGAACCUAUCGACAAUCGUUUGCAGUCAGGCCGUAAAUCGGAAGACUAAGAGCGACGCGAGGGUACCCACCUGGACCUAGAAGGUCAUAUAACUUAUGAAUGCGAUGAACGGCGAACGUGGAAGUCAC